rnacentral:tRNA from 1 species
GGGUAUGGUGUAAAGGUAGCACAAAGGUCUCCAAAACCUUUUGCGAGGGUUCGAAUCCUUCUACCC